UUAAUAUUCCCAUAAAAAAUUAAUAAAAAUAUUUGAUUAUUUACAAGAUUGAAGAAACCCUUACAUUAAAUAUUUAUAAAUUUACCCUUAAAUAAAAAUAAAAAACCUAGCAUCCGCUACAUAUUACAUAACCAAACCCAGAUCUCCAACCAAAAAAAAAAAAACCCUGCAAUCUGCAUCCCAAAUCUCGACCACCAUGAAUUAAAACACCACCAAAAACCAUCUUCAAAAUUUGUGUAUCCACGCAUGAGUCAUCCUAAGCAUUGUUGGUUCCAUUAAUGUCAUGUUCUAAUUCAUGCUACAAUACCAAGCUUAAUUUAUGUCGUAACCAUAACCAUAUUCUGGAUUUAAAGAUACCACAUAUCACAUAAAAUCUCCUCGCACAGUUUGAAGGGAGUUACAUGGCUCUUUCGUGUAACAAGUAUGGAAGUAAUGUUGUGAAGUGCUUGUUAACAGCAAUUGAGGAUCAAUCCACACAAAUUAUCUUGGAGUUCCUAAGCAAUCCAGGUGCUUCCAUGCUCCUUGUGGAUCCUUUCGGAAACUUUGUUAUCCAGAAAGCACUAUCAAUUUCUCAGGUUAGAUCAUCUGCACUCCAAGAUAUAUCUCAUCUGCUUGUUGGAUAGCUGCAAACCAGGUGUAAUGUGCAGAUAGUAAGCAUCGCUUUAUUCUCAGACAUAUCUAACUGAGAUUAUCAGUAUCAAACUGUUUCUAUAUGUCAUUCCUGUUGUUUAAUUUAACUUUAUAGUGUGAUUGUAUUGACAAUCUCGACUUCCCAGGCUCAAACUGCUUGAAUUGGUCUGAAUAUAUUUUAGUCAAUUCUCAACAUGAGAAACAUAUUUUUCUGUGAGGAAUUGAGUCUGCUUAAUUUAUGUUAUUACCAUAACAAGCUUAAUUUAUGUUGUAACCAUAAACAACCUGAACAUGUCGUUGCCAUAACAAACCUGUGUCGUGUUUUGAGAUCCAUUCGAGUAAAUUUCUCUCAGAGCACAGUCCAGCAUGCUUGAAUAGCUAGUUCUGGAGAAUCCUUGUGUGAAGAUGAGAAAGCGUCGAGUCUUAAAUUUGCAGGGUCAUGUUUACCAUUUUGUCUCUCUCAUUUGUGAUAUGCUACACAUGAAACAAAACCAUUCAAAACAGAUCACGCUAAAAGAGCCUAAAGUGAUCUUCCCUUGUUAAAAUUAAGGGAUGAGUUUGAUAGAAAUAAGAUUUUAAUUGCCUCCAAUAUCCAAAAGGGAAUAAUAACAAAGCCCUGAAUAUUCUCAAUGACAUAGUUUAUAGAAUUAUAAAAUCAAGCUGAAUAAAUCAAAGAGAAUCAUUCAUGAACAGAACAGCACAAAGAAAAUACGGACAUAAAUAACAUCUAAAGUAGUAGUUGCUGCAGUUAAAUUAUAAUAUGAUGCAAGAAAUAAAGGUAGACGGGUAUCAUAAGAAUUAAAAGGCUAUGGUCAUACCAAAUAGCAGAAGAGGCUCUCACAAUAUUCAUGCUUAUACAAUCGUUUUGUCACGAAAA
rnacentral:lncRNA from 1 species